AGGCGGCAAAAGCGGCGUCGGAAGCCCGCAUGGCGGGUAGAUCUUCUAAACGAUCUCCGAGAACGCCAACGAUGACUUUCCUGCUGCUGCCCAAAAACCGCUGGUUGUGGCGA
rnacentral:sRNA from 14 species